GAGGUUAUAGCUCCGUAGUAGAGUGUGUGCUUGACAUGCAUGAGGUCCUGGGUUCAGUCCCCAGUACCUUUG
rnacentral:tRNA from 1 species